rnacentral:rRNA from 1 species
GACAGUACUCCUACGGGGAGGCAGCAGUGGGGGAAUAUUGCACAAUGGGCGCAAGCCUGAUGCAGCCAUGCCGCGUGUGUGAAGAAGGCCUUACGGGUUGUAAAGCACUUUCAGUCGUGAGGAAGGUAGUGUAGUUAAUAGCUGCAUUAUUUGACGUUAGCGACAGAAGAAGCACCGGCUAACUCCGUGCCAGCAGCCGCGGUAAUACGGAGGGUGCGAGCGUUAAUCGGAAUUACUGGGCGUAAAGCGCAUGCAGGUGGUUUGUUAAGUCAGAUGUGAAAGCCCGGGGCUCAACCUCGGAAUAGCAUUUGAAACUGGCAGACUAGAGUACUGUAGAGGGGGGUAGGAAUUUCAGGUGUAGCGGUGAAAUGCGUAGAGAUCUGAAGGAAUACCGGUGGCGAAGGCGGCCCCCUGGACAGAUACUGACACUCAGAUGCGAAAGCGUGGGGAGCAAACAGGAUUAGAUACCCUGGUAG